CUGCUGAUCCAUCCUCCUCUCCUGACUCCCCUCCUCCACCUCUCCUGACCUUUCUCCGCCUCUCCUGAACCUCCGGCUCCUCUCCUGAGCCCUCUCUCAACCCCUUCCUUCUCUCCUACCCUGUAGUUCAUGUGCCAGGGCCUCUCUCCCCCCUUUUCUCUGAACCCUGAUCUCUGACCCUUGACCCCUUUGGUCAGGAUGAGCUGGCUGAGCCGGCUGACCCCUCGAGGUCCGGGGGGCAGGUCCAGUAGGAACGUAGCACCCUCCAGUCCCUGUACUGCUGACCCAGAGACCUGCCUCAUGGUCUUCGAGAACCACUGGAGACAGGUGUCCUGGGUGCUGGAGCAGCAGGAUCCGUCAAGCUCUAGCGAUGACCUCACCGCGGUGCGGAACCACACCGACCAGAUGCUGUGCCUCCUGGCCGAGGAGCGACCGGGGGAGUGUGAGGGACCCCCCGGGGCGGUAACGUCCGGUAACGUCCCCCCCAUUGGCCCCAUCCUGGACUUGGUGGUGUCUGAGAACGUCCUGGAGCGUGUGGUGCAGUGGCACCUGAGGCGUGGCCUGGACCCCGACAGCCAAGGGGCGUUACUCAAGCUGUUCGAGAUGCUGAUAGGCCAGUCUCAGCAGCCCUUGCUCCAACACAAGGCGGUGCUGCAACCUCUACUGGGUCUUCUUGGGGCCUGUGCUGAGCCCCAGCUGGGCUGCCCUCCCUCUCUGGAGAACAGCCUAGUGCUGCUGCUCAACCAGAUCUGUGUGUCGAUGGCGCGUGCCCCUGCUGUGUUGGAGCUGUUGUUCAGGUCGGCCCCGGCCCAGCACGGUCCUACCAACCUGCUCAUCUUCUCCCUGCUGGUUCCCUUCAUCCACCGUGACGGGGCCAUCGGACAGCAGGCCCGCGACGCCCUCCUCCUCGUCAUGGCAACCUCCGCCAGCAACCAGGGCGUGGCACGCUACAUUGCAGAGAACUCCUACUUCUGCCCGGUGCUGGCCACGGGCCUCAGUGCUCUCUACUCCUCCCUGCCGAGGAAGAUAGAGGUACGGGGGGAUGACUGGCACGCUCUGCGAAGGGAGGACUGGAUGGGCGUGUCCUCUCUGGUGCUCUUCAUGAAUUCUCUGGAGUUCUGUAACGCUGUCAUUCAGGUGGCUCACCCCCUGGUCCGCAGACAGCUGGUCCACUAUGUUCACAACGGCUUCCUGGUCCCUGUCAUGGGACCCGCCCUACACAAGUCAUCUGUAGAUGAGAUGAUAGCCAGUACAACCUACCUGGACCUGUUCCUGCGCAGCGUCACGGAAACGUCUCUCCUUAAAGCCUUCCUGCGUUUUAUCCUCAUGCAUCGCCACGACAACGACACCAUCCUGGACACAUUGCUGACGCGCAUCAGCAGCAACUCGAGGCUGUGUAUGGUGUCUUUGAGCCUGUUUAGGACUCUGCUCUCUCUCAACUGUGAAGACCUCAUGUUGCAGCUCGUUCUCAGGUAUCUGCUGCCCUGUACCCAUGUGAUGUUGAGUCAGAGGCGUGCCAUCAGGGACACUGAUCUCUAUGGUAAAUCAGCUGACAAGUUCCUGUCCCUGAUCCCAGACUGCUGCCGUCUGAGCACAGCGCCCUCUGCUGAGCGGGAGGAAGAACCUGCCCUUUGGGGGAAAGCCCUGAACAGCCCCAGCUCAGAGUCUCCAGUACACCACAAACCCAGCACUCCAUCCCGCUUGGCCCUCUUCAUGCGCCAGCAGAGCACUGGAGGAGGGCCCUCCACCCCCUCCCCCACCGAGACUGUCCCCUCGUCGCCCGGUGCUGGCCCCAACACCCCCCUGUCCCCAGAUAGCCCCAUGCACCCCGUCCCAGAGGGGCUGGACUGGGAGUCGGGGUACCUGGAGUACCUCAGGGACGCCCGUAGGGGGGUAGAGCUGUGCUCCUGGGCCUGCCGGAACUGGUCGGCCCCCUACGACGGAGAGGACCCCUCACCCAACGCGGCCCCUCUACCGCCCCCUCCCCCCACCUCCAACCCCUCCCUGGCCAUGUUCCCAGAGCACUUCUCCUUCCAGCAGGGAGGAGGAGGAGGAGGAGGUGGUAGUACCUCCCCCAGCCAGCAGAGGGCAGCGGUGGUGGCAGCGGCGCGGUCAGAGUGGAGCAGUACAGAGAGGGACAGUGGAGAGUGGGACGUCACCAUCGGUGAGAACAGCUGUAUCAGCCUCACGCCCCGCACCAAGAAACGCAGCCUGCAGAGAGAGGAUGUCCACCUCCCCAAACCUCUCCAUCUCCCUCCUGAUUCUGCCUCCCUCCCUGACCCCUCCCUCCCUGACCCCUCUGCUGCCCCCCACCUCCGCUCCGCCCCCACCAAGGGCGCUCAGCAGGCCAUCAUCAAUGGGAUGUUGUUGGGUGGGCAGGGGGACAGGUGUAGGGACAGCCAGGAUGGAGGGAUGGAGGUUAAGAAGGUGAAGAGAGAGUUGGGCGAGCAACGGCAUCCUGCUGGGGGGGACUCUAGUCAGAACGGGGAGGUGAGUGCCUUCCCUGCCCCUGCCCAGUCCUGCGGGUCCCUACAGGGCUUCUACAGUGAAGGGAAUGGGAGUGGGCCUGCGGAAAGCUCCAGAGGUCUUCCACCACACAAACCGAGUCACACCCAGACUCCAUCUGAUUCACUGCUCUCAGAACCCCGUGCCAACUCCUCCAACGACAGGCUGACCCUCCGUGCUGCAGCAUCCAGCCCUGGAUCGGGACCUCCAGAGGCAAUGCUCUCUACCCAGUCAGAAGCAGUGGAGCGACUGAUCUCUGAGCUCCUGGAUGGGGCUGGGCCUGGGGAGGGGGGCCAGCAGGGGCCUGGGGACUCCAACGGCCAGGGCAUCAGCAUCGAGGCCUUCACCCAGGAACUCCGGGAGCUGGAGGACAGGGUGAGGGAGAGGAGCAAGGGGGUGGGGCUGUUCAGACAGCUGGAGGAGACCACCAGAGACCCCCACUCAGGGGAACCACCGCCCCUCUCUCCCCUGGACGCUGACCUGAUGGGGAGCGGGGUAGUGGCUGGAGUUGUGAGGGUGUUCAGGCCUCUAGGACAGCCAUCCACUCAGCCCUACACAGGUCCGUUCAUGGUGGUUCUGUUUGCCAAGCUGGAAAACAUGCUCCAGAACUCUCUGUAUGUAAACAUCCUGUUGACGGGUAUUCUGGGCCAGCUUGCCUGCUACCCUCAACCCCUGCUCCGAUCCUUCCUCCUCAACACCAGCAUGGUGUUCCAGCCCAGCGUCAAGUCUCUCAUACAGGUCCUGGGCUCAGUGAAGAGCCGCAUCGAGACGUUUGCAGCGUCCCAUGAGGAUUUCCCUGCCAUGCUGAAGAAAGCCCAGCGCUACCUGGCUGCCAGGGGCAAGGUGGACUGGGCGGACUCACCCAUGGGGAUGCCCACACUGCGGCGCUCUGAUUCUCUGGUGAAGAGCCGGAAACCCUCACUAGGCGACCUGAUCCUUCGCCACACCAACAGCCCCACGCGGGCACGCCACGCUGCCCAGCUCGCCCUGGCCCACGUACGAGACGGCGGCCAAUCGCUGCACAGUGCCCUAUUCCGGGGCGGGUCAGGGGCGUCGGGGCUGGAGAAGCAGGCAGAGGCUCUGAGGGUGAAGAACGCUGUCUACUGCGCCGUCAUCUUCUCUGAGUUCCUCAAGGAGCUGGCCGCUCUGGCCCAGGAGCACGCUGUCUCCAUGCCCUUCCUCCAGAGCCACGACACUGAGGAGUGAUGCUGUCUGUCUCCAUGCCCUUCCUCCAGAGCCACGACACUGAGGAGUGAUGCUGUCUGUCUCCAUGCCCUUCCUCCAGAGCCACGACACUGAGGAGUGAUGCUGUCUGUCUCCACGCCCUUCCUCCAGAGCCACGACACUGAGGAGUGAUGCUGUCUGUCUCCACGCCCUUCCUCCAGAGCCACGACACUGAGGAGUGAUGCUGUCUGUCUCCACGCCCUUCCUCCAGAGCCACGACACUGAGGAGUGAUGCUGUCUGUCUCCACGCCCUUCCUCCAGAGCCACGACACUGAGGAGUGAUGCUGUCUGUCUCCACGCCCUUCCUCCAGAGCCACGACACUGAGGAGUGAUGCUGUCUGUCUCCAUGCCCUUCCUCCAGAGCCACGACACUGAGGAGUGAUGCUGAAGGUUGCAACCCGAUAUCAACCCUCCUCCCAGAAGAUUGAGAAGCAUUGGAUUGGUUGUAAGCGUUGUCUAGAGGGAGUUCCUUUCCAAAUCAAAUCUAAUUUUAUUUAUAUAGCCCUUCGUACAUCAGCUGAUAUCUCAAAGUGCUGUACAGAAACCCAGCCUAAAACCCCAAACAGCAAGCAAUGCAGGUGUAGAAGCACGGUGGCUAGGAAAAACUCCCUAGAAAGGCCAAAACCUAGGAAACCUAGAGAGGAACCAGGCUAUGUGGGGUGGCCAGUCCUCUUCUGGCUGUGCCGGGUGGAGAUUAUAACAGAACAUGGCCAAGAUGUUCAAAUGCCCAGCAUGGUCGAAUAAUAACAAGGCCGUUAUCACUUCCAUCGUUGUUAAAUCUAGUGUACGUGACGUCUGGGCCUGUAUCCGCAAAGCGUCUAAAAGACAGACAGGAUAGCGCAGGUAGACUGACACAGACAGACAGAGACAGACAGGAUAGGGCAGGUAGACUGACACAGACAGACAGAGACAGACAGGAUAGCGCAGGUAGACUGACACAGACAGACAGAGACAGACAGGAUAGGGCAGGUAGACUGACACAGACAGACAGAGACAGACAGGAUAGCGCAGGUAGACUGACACAGACAGAAAGAGACAGACAGGAUAGCACAGGUAGACUGACACAGACAGACAGAGACAGACAGGAUAGGGCAGGUAGACUGACACAGACAGACAGAGACAGACAGGAUAGCGCAGGUAGACUGACACAGACAGACAGAGACAGACAGGAUAGGGCAGGUAGACUGACACAGACAGACAGAGACAGACAGGAUAGCGCAGGUAGACUGACACAGACAGACAGAGACAGACAGGAUAGGGCAGGUAGACUGACACAAGAGACAGUGGUUAGGAUAGGACAGGUCGACUGACACGUGAGACAGUGGUUUGGAUAGGACAGGUAGACUGACACGUGAGACAGUGGUUUGGAUAGGACAGGUAGACUGACACGUGAGACAGUGGUUAGGAUAGGACAGGUAGACUGACUCGUGAGACAGUGGUUAGGAUAGGGCAGGUAGACUGACACGUGAGACAGUGGUUAGGAUAGGACAGGUAGACUGACACGUGAGACAGUGGUUAGGAUAGGACAGGUAGACUGACACGUGAGACAGUGGUUAGGAUAGGACAGGUAGACUGACACGUGAGACAGUUUAGGAUAGGACAGGUAGACACUGACCAUAUAUGGACAGAUCCUAGAUCGGCACUCCUUCUCUAGGACACUGUGACCAUAUAUGGACAGAUCCUAGAUCGACACUCCUUCUCGGACACUGUGACCAUAUAUGGACAGAUCCUAGAUCGACAAUCCUUCUCUAGGACACUGUGACCAUAUAUGGACAGAUCCUGGAUCGACACUCCUUCUCUAGGACACUGUGACCAUAUAUGGACAGAUCCUGGAUCGACACUCCUUCUCUAGGACACUGUGACCAUAUAUGGACAGAUCCUGGAUCGACACUCCUUCUCUAGGACACUGUGACCAUAUAUGGACAGAUCCUAGAUCGGCACUCCUCCUCUAGGACACUGUGACCAUAUAUGGACAGAUCCUAGAUCGGCACUCCUUCUCUAGGACACUGUGACCAUAUAUGGACAGAUCCUUUACUCCCUUCCACCUGCAGGGGGCAAAGUGGAGCACUGAUGGGGCUGAGAGCUCCAGUGAAGAGACGAGGGGGAGGGGGACAGUUCAUUCGGACAAUGUGAAAUCAAGAAUGGAAAUGGAAUAUAUAUAUAUAUAUAUAUAUACACACACACACACACACACACUAAAUGUGAAUAGAUCUGUAGAUCUUGGAGAGUGGUCUGUAGUGUACAUACCAUAGCAGUGUGGUAGUGUAGCGCUGCACCACAUGUGUACAUGAUGCUCAUCAGAUGUGUUAAAUAUUCCGUCUUUUUGAAAAUCUGACAACAACGACAACAAAAAAAGACCCACAACCUUAAAUUUUCCCUGUUCCUGUUCGCUGAAGCUGGUCAAGCAAACUCUAGAUACUCAGCGUUGAUCGUCUCAACUGUAGAGGACACAACAGGAAGGGAUCUGACCAAUGGGCUCAGAGCAUCACCUCAGCUUGUGAGAUUUAACAGGGAGGGGGAGAGGAGGGGGUCUGGAAAGGGGAGGUGACGAGAAAGGCCCCCCGUACUGUGUACUGGAAAACAAAAGUGGAUUUUGAUAUUUGUAUUUAUAACCUCUCCAUGUUUUAUCAUCAUUUUAGAUUUAAUUUAUAUAUAUU